GCAGGGACCCACAGGGAGGAGCAAGGUGGUGGCGGAGGAGAUGCGAGGAUGCACCACCGCGUCCUCCGCGGGGCUCGCGCUGGAGGCCUCCGAUCAGUAGGAGGGACCUGGCGCUCGGGAGUCGCGCUGGUUUCGUUGCCCCCAAAGACCGCGGGAUGCUCGGACCCGAGACGAGGAACCCGUGCCGGUAAGAGCCCGGCCUUGCUGCGGACUCAGAGCUGAACAAUGACCAUAGUUGACAAAGCUUCUGAAUCUUCGGGCCCUUCAACCUCUCAGAACCAGCCUGGCAGCUCCGAGGCAGUCUCACCUGGAGACAUGGAUGCAGGGUCUGCCGGCUGGGGUGCUGUGUCUUCCUUAAAUGAGGUUUCAAAUCACACGCUUUCCUUAGGACCAGUGCCUGGUGCUGUAGUGUAUUCAAGUUCAUCUGUACCUGAUAAGUCAAAACCAUCACCACAGAAGGAUCAAGCCCUAGGUGAUGGCAUUGCUCCUCCGCAAAAAGUUCUUUUCCCAUCUGAGAAGAUUUGUCUUAAGUGGCAACAAACUCAUAGAGUUGGAGCUGGGCUCCAGAAUUUGGGCAAUACUUGCUUUGCCAAUGCAGCAUUGCAGUGCUUAACAUACACGCCACCUCUUGCCAAUUACAUGCUAUCGCAUGAACACUCCAAGACAUGUCAUGCAGAAGGAUUUUGUAUGAUGUGUACAAUGCAAGCACAUAUCACCCAGGCACUCAGUAAUCCUGGGGAUGUUAUUAAACCAAUGUUUGUCAUUAAUGAGAUGCGGCGUAUAGCUAGGCACUUCCGUUUUGGAAACCAAGAAGAUGCCCAUGAAUUCCUUCAAUACACUGUUGAUGCUAUGCAAAAGGCGUGCUUGAAUGGCAGCAAUAAAUUAGACAGACACACCCAGGCUACCACGCUCGUUUGUCAGAUAUUUGGAGGAUACCUGAGAUCUAGAGUCAAAUGUUUAAAUUGCAAAGGCGUUUCAGAUACUUUUGACCCGUAUCUCGAUAUAACACUGGAGAUCAAGGCUGCUCAGAGUGUGAACAAGGCGCUGGAGCAGUUUGUGAAGCCCGAGCAGCUGGACGGCGAGAACUCGUACAAGUGCAGCAAAUGUAAAAAGAUGGUUCCAGCUUCGAAGAGAUUCACCAUACACAGGUCCUCCAAUGUUCUCACACUUUCUCUGAAACGCUUUGCCAAUUUUACUGGCGGGAAAAUUGCUAAGGAUGUAAAAUAUCCGGAAUAUCUUGAUAUUCGACCAUACAUGUCUCAGCCAAACGGAGAACCGAUUAUUUAUGUUUUAUAUGCAGUGCUGGUACACACUGGUUUUAACUGCCACGCGGGCCAUUACUUCUGCUACAUAAAGGCUAGCAAUGGUCUCUGGUAUCAGAUGAAUGACUCCAUCGUAUCUACCAGUGAUAUCAGAUCGGUACUCAGUCAACAAGCGUAUGUUCUCUUUUAUAUCAGGUCCCAUGAUGUGAAAAAUGGAGGUGAACUUACUCAUUCCGCCCACAGCCCCGGCCAGUCCUCUCCCCGACCUGUAAUCAGUCAGCGUGUCGUCAAUAACAAACAGGCCACGUCAGGGUUCAUCGGACCACAGCUUCCUUCUCACAUGAUUAAGAACCCGCCGCACUUGAAUGGGACCGGACCCUUGAAAGAAACGCCCAGCAGCUCCGUGUCCAGUCCUAAUGGAAAUUCCAAUGUCAGCAGGGCUGGUGCUGUUAACGCUUCAACUUCUGUUCAAAACUGGUCAGUUAACAGGGCCUCAGUUAUCCCGGAGCAUCCCAAGAAACAAAAAAUCACCAUCAGUAUUCACAACAAGUUACCUGUUCGCCAAGGUCAGUCUCAGCCUAACCUUCACAACAAUUGUUUGGAGAACCCUACCAAGCCUGUUCCCUCUUCUACCAUUACCACUUCUUCUGCAAUACAGUCUACCUCGAGUGCCCCCACCACGUCAGCUCCCAGUAAAGUCACAAAGCCGAUGGCCCCGAGUGAGUCCUGCUCCAAGCCAGUGAUGAACGGCAAGUCCAAGCUGAACUCCAGCGUCCUGGUCCCCUACGGUGCCGAGUCAUCGGAAGAGUCUGACGAGGAGGCCAAGGGCCUCGGCAGGGAGAACGGUCUGGGCACGGUCGAGAGCUCGAACUCUUCUGCUCUGGAUGCUGAAGCUGACGAGGCCUCUCAGCAUGAGUUUCGAGAACCUGUGACUCUAAAUGGUGCUAGUGUCAGUACAGACAGUGACCCGGAAGAGAACGGUCUGUCCUUCGAUGGUGCCAGCUGCCAAGUCCAGCCUGACCUACACUCAGAAAACCCCUUUUCUAAGGCAAAUGGUCUCCCUGGAAAGUUGAUGCCCGCUCCUUUGCCACCUCUCCCGGAAGACAAAAUCUUAGAGACUUUCAAGCUCGGCAACAAAGGGAAAGGCUCGACGGAUGAGACAAGUGCACCUGGAACAGACGGGAGCCAGACAGAGCAUCCUGAGGCAGGACUGGAGCCCGGCAGCCCCACUCCUGACUCCCGGGAGGAACUGGAGACGGACAGGGGUCUUAGCAGCAAACUGAAGAAGGCUUCGCCGCUCCCGGACCCCGGCAUCCAAUCUACAUCUACCAAAGAACAAGUCCCUGAGAGCAUUUCAGCAAAACCCGAGGAGUCCGUGCCCAGUGUCAACCACCUUUGUAACGCCAACAAGAACACCGCUGGGGACGACCAUCUCUCUGAACUGUGCGACCCUGGGAAUGGAACAGGGGAGGAGAGCAGAGCAUCCCAGGAUACACCAGGGACGUUAGCAGAGAGUCCCCCGGACUCGGCAGCAGGGGACACCACGGGGAGGCUGAGCCCGAGCCCCGCGGCGUGUCCCGAGGGUGACGGCGAGCAGGGGCCCUCCGUCCACAGCAGCCGAGACCGGUGCACGGAUGCGGAAGACGUUUCUAAAGCCUCGGGGGCGCCUACAGAGGAGCCGCCCUCUUCUCAGUUGGACAAAGUCACGGAAAACCAUUCAGAAGGGGUUGGGGCUCCCGAGCAGAGCCCCGGGGAGCCACGUGAAGACAACAAGGCUGGGCAGAAAGGCCAGGCCCGGUCUCCGGUGAAGGAGAAGAUCAGCAGCCUCCGCAAGGUGGACCGAGGACACUAUCGCACCCGGAGGGACCGCUCGUCCAGCGGAGAGCACGCGCGGGACAGCAGGAGCCAGACCGAGGACCGCUACCGGCGGCGGCGGCACUCCUACACCCGCGAGCGCACCCUGCAGGGGCGCCGGCCCGAGCACUGCAGCGGGGGCCCGCACCACGCCUGCGAGCACCGCGGCCUGGCCCGGCACCGCCACCACCACCCCCGGAGCAGGGGCGGGUCCGACCACGACUGGAGCAGGUACCACCACUCGGAAAGCGAGCAUUCCUGGGGCCGGGAGAAGUACUACCUGGACAGAGCGAGGUGGGACAAAUGCAGGUAUUACCACGACAGGUACGCCCCGUACACGGCCAGGGAGGCGUGGGAGUGGAGGCCUUUGCACGGGGACCGAGACUAUGACCGUGUGGGUCAGUACGGCGGCCGGCCCUACAAGGACUAUAAAAGCAGGAAGGGCUACGAGCUAGGUGCCAAAGAGAGGGAACGGCACCACUUGAGCGGCCCCCGGGCAGGCCCCCCCCACGCCCUGCCGCCCCACCCUGAGAAGUCCGCCGAGAAGAUUGCACUUGCACCUGAAGGCAGCAGCUGUCACCUCGCUGAUCGCUUUCACGACCACGAAAAUGUGAAGUCACACAAACGGAGGUACGACAGUAUAGAACAUGGUGACACCCACGUAGAAAAGAAAGCCUGGAGAAGCGCACAGAGGGACCCUUUAGAAGAACCUAAAGUGAAGAAGCACAAAAAGUCAAAGAAGAAAAAGAGAUCCAAAGACAAACACCGAGAGCGAGACUCCAGGCACCAGCAGGACUCGGAUCUCUCGGCAGCAUGCUCAGACGCUGACCUCCACAGACACAGGAAGAAGAAGAAGAAAAAGAAGAGACACUCAAGGAAAUCGGAGGACCGUGGGCGAGACUCAGGACUGCACUUAGCUAAGGCCGCCAGCUCUGAGGCUCUUGACCACUUCCGGAGAGCCGACGGCAGCCCCCCCCUCACCGAUGGCCUGCCUCUGGAAGGCGCUGGACCUUUCCGCGAGAAAACAAAACAUUUAAGGAUGGACAGCAGAGAUGACAGGGGUCAUCUGUCUGAGUGUGGCCAGGUGACCUUCGUCCCUGGCGAGCAGCACGGAGCCUGCGAGAAAGCAUGAUGUAGGCAGCGCCCUAGCGCUGCCGCGAACCGCAGCCCAGGGCAGGGCCAGCCAGUUAGAAUGGCUUCAACAUCUCAAGUGGUUGGAAAAGUCCAAAGAAGAUUUCAUUUCCCAUGAAAAGCAUAUGAAAUUGAAAUGGUGUGUAGAGUGCAGUGGAACACAGCCCAGCUUUUACGGCCUUUUGUGGAGAGUUUGCUGACCGCCCUGGACCCCGAGGUGUCCUUCUGUGACUGUCACCCUGGUUGCCCAGAGGCCUUAGGGUUCCUGACGGUGUCCUGGGCUCGGCCGAGGUGACCUGUGGGGGGCGGCCAGCCUGUGAAGGUUGGCUAGGAGGGCACCUGGGCCCGUGUUGGCGAGGAGAGAACAGCACCUCGAGGCAUGGCGUGUUCCAUCGGGAGGGCGUGUGGUGGGAGCUGGCAGCCCUCGGCAGCAAGAAAGUGGAGCGGAAGUGGUGACUGAAAGCUUGGCCUCAAACAAAGAAUUCACUAGUUAUGAUUCAACAUGUCCAACAGAAGCCAUCCCCAACCCAGCUUCCAUUAUAAACAUAGAAAAUAACUUUGUUCAGAUCUGCGUGGUGCUUCUUUAGUAAAUACUGUACAGAUUUUACCAUGGAGAACUUCUUUUUUAGUUUUUACCUUUUCUUAAUUACCCUUAUUCCAAAUGGACGAACACUUUCUACAACUGCUGAGCAUUGUAAAGUACAUGUAUGUAAAUCACAUGAAAAGCGACGCCCUGGACUAGAACAUCUCAAUGCUGCUUAAUCACAGACUCAGGUUGACCUCUCGUAUUCCAUGUAAUGCUCCUCCAAUCAGACCUCCGGUGCAAGGCCAGCCGGGACCCUGGGAUUGUUCACGUACAAACAGCUGACAGUGCAUAUUUAAUUUAAAGACUAUUUAAGCUCCGCGAGCUCUCGGCUGACUCGAGAGCAGUGUUUUCUGUAAUGUCUGACACUAGAAACAAACGUGCUUCAUGUUUCAGUUUAUUCAAGAUUGGAAGGUGUAUUUUAUAGACAAGUUCUGUUUUUGAACUUUGUGGAACUAUUCCAAUCAACUUACCAGUUAUGAUGAGUAUUUACAUUAUGAAUGUAUAAUCCAGACAUUAUUUGUAAAGCCUACAGUACGUUUUUUAUUACAUAACACUUUUUAUACAGUUUCUCUUGUCUUGACUAUGAUAUUGGAGUCUGAGUUAUCAGCUUGGUCCCUGAAAAGUUUCUAGUUACAGACAAAAUCAUACUGUGAUUUUAUUUUUAAUAUGGAUAUGCUAUCAAACUGUGAUACACUUAUAAUUCACUGGUCCUGCAUCAGGAGACGGCGUGGGGACAACUGUAUUUAAUACAGUUUGUAUCUGAAUAAUCUGUAUGGUUUAUACAGUUUGUGUUGUUCAGAGAUGUCUAAAGUUUGAUCUUUGUUUUUUUAAAGAUUAAAAAAGCACUUGCCCCACUGUAAAUAUACAGCAUGUAAAAUUUAUAUAGUAUAUAAAUGGCAGCAAAUUAAACAUUUGUGUCUUCUUUUUUA